rnacentral:rRNA from 1 species
GCACCUUCGGUGUCCGAGUUGUAAUCUCUAGAAGUGUUUUCCGCGUUGGACCGCACACAAGUCUGUUGGAAUACAGCGGCACAGUGGUGAUACCCCCGUACACGGUGCGGACGCCCAGCGCUUUGUGAUACACUUUCAAUGAGUCGAGUUGUUUGGGAAUGCAGCUCAAAUUGGGUGGUAAAUUCCAUCUAAAGCUAAAUAUUGGCGAGAGACCGAUAGCGAACAAGUACCGUGAGGGAAAGAUGAAAAGCACUUUGGAAAGAGAGUUAACAGUACGUGAAAUUGUUGGAAGGGAAACGCUUGAAGUCAGACUUGCUUGCCGGAGCUUGCUUCGGUUUGCAGGCCAGCAUCAGUUUUCCGGGGUGGAUAAUGGUGGUUUGAAGGUAGCAGCCUCGGCUGUGUUAUAGCUUUCCACUGGAUACAUCCUGGGGGACUGAGGAAACGCAGCGUGCUUUUUGCGAAGGUUUCGACCUUUUCACGCUUAGGAUGCUGGUUAGUGACU